AUGGAGACGAGCAGGAGCAGCGGCGGCGGCGGCAGCAGCAGCGAGGCUGUCAGGGAGCUCGGCUGCUAUCGCGCGUCCGCGGGGGUCUGCAGGAGGAAGGAGGAGGCCGGGGCUGGGACCCUCGCGGCAGACAUGGACUUGCAUUGUGAUUGUGCCGCUGAAACGCCGGCCGCCGAGCAGCCGUCGGGGAAGAUUAAUAAAGCUGCUUUCAAAUUAUUCAAGAAGAGGAAAUCGGGUGGCACCAUGCCCAGCAUUUUUGGGGUCAAAAACAAAGGGGAUGGGAAAAGCUCGGGUCCGACGGGGAUGGUGAGGAGCAGGACCCACGACGGAUUAGCCGAGGUGGUGGUGCUGGAGGGCAGCAAGAAGGAGGAGCCGCGCGCCGGGGGCGACAGUGGCGGGGCCCGUGAAGGAGGUCGGCCGAACCUGGGGCCCCCCAGAGCCGCGGGGACCGGCGUGGGCUCCCUAGCCAACAGCUCUGUGGCUAAAUCUCACAGCUUCUUUUCCCUUUUGAAAAAGAACGGGAGAUCGGAAAACGGCAAAGGAGACCCUGCAGAUGCGAGCAAGGCUGGCGGCAAACAAAAGAGGGGGCUGAAAGGGAUCUUCAGCAGUAUGCGCUGGCACAAGAAGGACAAGCGCGGCAAGGAGGAGGAGAAGGAGGCACGCGCGGCCGGCCAGGGCAGCCUGAUCUUGCCCGGUUCCCUCACCGCCAGCUUGGAGUGCGUCAAGGAGGAAACGCCCAGAGCCGCGUGCGAGCCGGAGACCCCCAGCAAGGACGCCCCUAGAGAUCCAGCAGGUGAGCUCGGAGGGGGAGAGGAGGUGCCUGCCUCCGCUGAUCGCGCCCCAGCGCGGACCUGCAGCGAGGCCGAGAGCCCCGGGUGCCCUAACGACAAAAGCGCCCGGGGAGAGGACGCCGCGGGGCAUCGGCGCGCCGAGAAGCCCCGGGCACCCCCUGAGUCGGGAGCUGGUGAGGUCCACACUGCCGAGGAUGCUUCCAGGACAGGUGACGUUCCGAUAAAGACUGUCCCCCUUGUCGACUCUGAAUGUGGCAGCGGCCGGGCGUCUGCCGUCCCUGACCCUUCCUCUGUUGAUCCACCCUCAGACCCAUCGGCAGAUCGUAUUUGUUUGAUGUUUUCUGACGUGACUUCACUGAAAAGCUUUGACUCUCUUACAGGCUGUGGAGAUAUUAUUGCAGACCAAGAGGAAGAGGCAGGUCCCAGCUGUGACAAGCAUGCCCCCGGGCCAGGCAAGCCAGUUCUCUCUAAAAAGAACCCCAGCGUGGUGGCCUACCAAGGAGGAGGGGAAGAGAUGGCCAGCCCCGAUGAGGUGGACGACACCUAUCUCCAGGAAUUCUGGGACAUGCUUUCCCAGACUGAGGAUCAAGGACAAGGGCCCCAAGAGGGAGCGGCUAAGGCGGCAACUGCACUGGAGACCAAAGUGGUGCCCGAGACCUCCAAAGAUGCCAGAAGUGUAGAAACGUCCAAGGACGUGUCCUUGGUCAAACGCAGGAGGCUCAACAGGAUCCCCAUUGAACUCCAUCCAAAGGAGCAGCAGCCCAAACACCUGGAGAAAGAGAAGGAGCAGCAAGAAGGUGUCCCCAACAGUGAUGAGGGCUACUGGGACUCAACCACUCCGGGUCCAGAGGAAGAAAGUGCAAGCAGUGGUAAAAAGGCAGGCAUCCCCCGGGAUAGCUACAGUGGUGAUGCACUCUAUGAUCUCUAUGCUGACCCAGAUGGAAGCGCAGCAGUCCCUCCUGCCAAUGAGGAGACAUCCUGCUUGUCCCGGUUAAAGCCUGUGUCUCCAGGCACCAUCACCUGUCCACUGCGAACACCAGGCAGUUUACCGAAGGACUCUAAAAUCCCUAUUAGCAUCAAGCAUCUCACAAACCUCCCAUCCAGCCAUCCAGUUGUGCACCAGCAACCAACCAGGAGUGAGAUGCCCAGAACAAAAAUUCCAGUCUCCAAAGUGCUGGUCCGCAGGGUCAGCAACCGGGGCUUGGCUGGGACCACCAUCCGGGCAGCAGCGUGCCAUGACAGUGCCAAAAAGUUGUGAGGUCUUCGAUGCCAAGGUGGAUGGGCCACAUAUCAAGGAAUACAACUUUUCCCCUGGAAACCAUUAAAGGAUAUUUACUUCCCCUAAAGAAAGUCAUUUAGUACCGCCGCCUGCUCUGGAGCCUGGCCCUACCAAGUCUUUGUGCUGGGAACAGGGGCAGGAUACAGCCGAGAGGGGGAUGUUACACCUGGAAUUCUCCUCUCAAGAUAAGUCCCUGAGAAUUAUUUUCAAGUACUUUUUUCUUUUUCUACCUUUUAAAAAAUAUUUUUUGUUCUUUUUUUUUUCUUUAAUGCACUGAACACUUGGGAGUCACCUUUACUUGCCUUUGCAGAAAACAAGACUUAACCAAACCUAAAUUAGCUCAUGCCGGGAUAUUGGGCUGUGCUAGAGUCAGAGGGCCUGGAGGAGUCACUGCAGACCAGAGGAAAUUUCCCUUUCUCUCUUCCCCUUUCCCUUUCAGAGCGGGGAGGGGGAAGACUCUUUGCUGUAUCACUGUGUGGAAAACAUCUACCAAGCUGAAAGAACCAGGGAGUUACCUGAUCAGAAGGGAUCUUGGUUGGCAGAAACUUCCCUACUUUCAGUUGCUAGUUUGUGAGAUGGAACACAGUAGGAUGAGGUAAGCAAAUUCCUCUAAAAAUAAUAAUAGUAAUUAUAAUAUAAUUUGUGUUGAGUACUUACUAUGUGCCAGGCACUUACAGGAGCUUUACAAAGAUUUACUUAAUCCUCUUAAUGGUCAUAGGGGAGAGGUAACAUUAGCUCCCUAGUAUGACACCUGUAGUUCAUCCUUUUUGUUUGUUUUUAAUCCCCUCCACCUCUCUCUCCAUCACUCUUUGUCUCUCUCUCUCUCUCUCUCUCUCUCUCUCUCUCUCUCUCUCUCUCUCUCUCUCUUUUCCUUCCUGGGACAAGGGCUAUAAAUUCUUUAGUGUCCUAUGGUAAUAUAAGAGCUAAGAACUGCUGAAAUCAUUAAACAGUUCACUUUCACCAGGAAAAGCUCAGCCAUGUCCAUGCAGCUUUAUAUCUAAGACAAUGGUGCUCACAGUCUCUCAUAGGGAUCUCUGCCACGCUUCGACAGUGGGUAGGCAAACAUGGGCCUUCCUUCAGAGCUGUCCUCUCCUUUCAGGGAUGAACAUGAGAAGUACAGACAGAAAGCUCUUUUGUUGUCAUAGUAAUACUUCUUCCCUGAUAGGAUUUCCCUCAUUCCAAGCACGCUUCACUUGUUUGCCUAACUUAAGCCCAAUCUAGGCUUGUUCUGGCUGCUGUGUGCUUUUUUUUUUUUUUUUUUUUCUUUUUAAUAAUAUUAAAAACAUUUAACAUAAGAUCUACCCUAUUAGCAAUUUUUCAGUAUAUAAUACAGUAUUGUUAACUAUGGACACAUUUUUGUACAGCAGAUUGUCAGAACUUUCAACUUGGUGUAACUGAAGCGUUAUUCCCGCUGAUCAGCAGCUCCCCAUUCCUGUCUCCCUCCGCCCCUGGCAACCACCAUUCUACUCUCCGAUCCUAUGAGUCUGACUAUUUUGAUACCUCAUGUAAAUGGAAUCAUGCGCAUUUGUCUUUCUGUGACUGGCUUAUUUCACUGAGUAUCAUGUCCUCCAGGUUUAUCCCUGUUGUCAGAGGCUAGGAUUUCCUUCCUUUUGAAUACUGAAUAGUAUUCCUUUAUAUGUAGAUACCACAACCAUUUUCUCUACUUCAUGGCGAUUGUGAAAAAUGCUGGAAUGAACAUGGAAUGAAAAUAUUUCUUUAAGGUCCUGAUUUGAAUUCUUUUUGUUAAAUAUUCAGAAAUAGGAUCACUGGGUCAUAUGGUAAUUUUAUCUUUGAAUUCCUGAGUACUUGCCAUAGUGUUUUCCACAGAGGCUGCACCAUUUGACAUUGCUGCCAACAGCAGGGCUCCAGUUUCUCCACAUGUUCACCAACCCUGACUAUCUGUGGAGUGUGUUGAAAGUGUAGCCAAUUGAGUUAUCCUUUGCUUUGAUGCAAUUCUGAAGUCCAGAUAUAAGCACCUGGUUCUUUCAAAAGUAGUGCAGCCUAUGUUCUGUCUGUGGCCAUUGAAUCCUGACCUUUAUUUUCUGAUUCAUUAAUUUGCUUAACAAAUAGUUAUUGAGCUCCUCUAAAUCAGUCACCAUGACCACAUUUUAUAUUUAAUUCUAAUGACCAACAUGGACUGUGUGUUUACUAUAGUGCCAGGGUGGAGCUCUGUGCUGUAUUUUACAUUGUCCUCUUUACUUUUCACAAGAACCAUGUAAAGUAUGUAUUGACUCCAUUCUCCAGAGGAAGAAAAUGUUUGGAAAGGUUAAAAAUCAUCUUGACCAAAGUCAUUCAUUUAGUAAGUAAUAGGGGCAGCAUUUGAACCAGAAACCUAACUCUACAGCUGAUGCUUUAACUGUAAAUAUUUUUUAUCCAUGAGAAUUUUUGUAUUACUUGUUUUAAAUAAGAAAUUGAUCAAAGUUUUGAACUGCCAGAGUCAAACAAAAUUUUUAUGAUGGUGCAUAUCCUUAAAACAAUGACUACUUUAGUUAAAAGUGAACUUGGUUUUUAAAAAAUUAGUUUGAUGGCCUUUAAAUAAUCUGAAUUACCUACAAAUCUAAAAGGUAGAUCUCAGAGUCUAGCGAACAUUUUUUCUCACCUGGGUCAGUCAAAAAUUUGGGCUUUAUUCACCAAUUAUUUUUGAGCUGUAUAUUAACUGGUCUAAAAUCUGAUUAGUACUUUGCCAAUAAUAAAACCAGCAAAGUAAAUUCCAUAAUGAAUCCAUCAGGUUGCCACCUGAGUUUUCUUUCCCUCUAAUUUUAUUAAAGAUGACUCUUUCUGUAUCUAGGGAAAAUCAGUUUGAAAUUACAUUGCUGUCACAAUUCAUGACACUAUUUUACUGAUGUACAAGAUACCUACAUUUGGUCCAAUUUUUCUGACUUCUAGAUUUCAAUGAGAUGCAGUUGAAAAAUUCAGCAACAAUGGUUAUUCUAUUGAACUGUAAACUGGGGUAAUUUUUGGAAAUUAUGCAAUUGCUGUGUAGAGUAACUAUGUGAGAAGAUACAUUUUAAAUAAAAUGCAGCCUGGGUUCCCAUUACUUGAGGCACAUUAAACUUUCUCAGAUACUUUCAGACCUGGAUCACUUAAUAAACUACAGCAGAAAUUCUAAAACUAUCCAGUCAAAUAGCAGGAGGAAUGGAGCACAAAUACAGUCAAUACUUAACACAUAAUGAAGUGACCCCAGUUAGCCUGAAGGAAUUAAUGAAUCUUCUCAAAUACCUAUGUGAGAAUCAUUUAUUCCUCCACAAGGCACUUAUUUCUAAAUAAAGGUGGAGAAACUCUAACAAAGAAGUAUUUAAUAUUUUUAUUGCUUCCAGGAUAAAUUUAAUUAAAUAUGGAGGAUCUGAUAGUGGUAGAAUUAUCAAGAAUAUCAGGGAAAAUGGUGUUGAUGUUAUAGGCAAAGCAAAUUUCCACCAUUUUUACUUGUCACCAGCUAUCUAGCAAGCUCACUGGAACUUCAGGUUUUGCCCAUCUUGUUUAUAUGAAGCAUCUCAGUGUAAUAAAAGGAAUAGCAGAUUAUUUGAAAAUGGUGACAAAGAGAACCCAAAUGAGAGACCCCAUUUCUAUAAUUAGUUUCCCUGAAAGUCAGGCAUGUCUUUGAGGACAAGCUGUUGGCUGUAUUAUUUUUGUGCACAGGAGGAAAAUUGUUAGUAGGUUUAUAGAUAUUAUUUUUAUAAUAGAAUGUUAACCCCCUGAAAAACAUCAAACGUUGUCUCCUAGAACUAACUCUAUGUUUUCAAAACUUGUUUUAAAAAGGAUUCUAAAUAGCAAUAGGAUCUUUUCUUCCUCUCCACUCCAGUGGUUUCAUGGGAUAGAUGAAUCAAUGUUUAUAUUUUUAAACCUGUAAAUAUUUUAUUUUGGGUAUUUUGUAUAUUUGUUGAUAUAAUUCCAUUUUGUGCAUCUAUACCAUUGUGCAUGUUGCUGUUUUUGAUAGUCACUCUUUCAAUGAAUGUAAGAAGCUUGGACUAAUAGCACUUUCCUUGUUUCAUUCAGCCAUCUUAAAAUGAAAAUACAAUGCUGCCAUUUUAACUGUUGUGUUUAAUUUUUAACUGUUGUGUUUAAUUCAGUCAAUAAAAUUUGUUGCUCCUUUGCA